AAAGAUGAUUCAUCUGAUGGCGAUCCGGGGACGAACAUGCCGAGAUACUCUGCCGGUGCUGAUGAAGACAUCGAUGUAUUCCAAAGCGGCACCAUGGGCGAUGAGCAGGAAGCACACGACUUGAUUGAUGAGGAGUACUACAUGUUUUGCAACGAAGGAUCCGAUAACGACAUAUUGGAUGAUGAAGAGGAAGCGAGCAUGUCUAGCGCUAAACCUAGCGAGAUUGAUCCAUUUGACACUGUCUACUCAAACAUUCCAGACAACACUCACAUCCUGAAAGUCGACGAAAAUUGCAAACACUGCAAGGCCAGAAAGUUUGAGUCUGAGACUGACGGCUUCUGCUGUCGCAAUGGCCAGAUCGAGCUUAAGCAACCGGAACCAAUCCCAGAGCUUAUGAGGCUAUGGUCCAGCAUGGAUGCAGAUUCUAGACUUUUUCGGGAGAACAUACGUUUCUUCAACGGGCAUUUCGCCUUCACAACCCUUGGGGUCAGCCUUGAUGAAAACUACACUAACAUGAAGUCUGGGGUGUACACAUUCCGAGCACACGGCACCAUCUACCACAAUGUCCAUUCGUUCGGGCCUAGCUCCCGUCCAGAACAUCUGCAGUUGUACUUCUAUGACGACGACCCUAACCUAAAUCAUCGUAAGGCGGCC
rnacentral:rRNA from 1 species